UAAAAAUAAAUUUAAUAAAACACCGAAAUAACAUUUUUAACAUUAAAACAAUAGUUUAAUAUAAAGUCUAUUAUUUUAUAUAAUUAUGUAAUUCUUUUAAUAGUAUGGUGGAAGUGAAUUUUCAAACCUUUGAAUCAAAUGAAAGACCAUCGUGGAUGUAAAUAUAACUUUACAAUGUAAUCAUUCUUGUACUGUUUAAGAAGAAUAUACUUUAGACAUACCUGUUGAGAAAAAGCUUUGAUUCCUGAUACUACAGCCUUGUUGCACAGAUUUCUGUCAUUUGAUAGCAAAACAACAUAACUAUGUUUGGCUAAGGAGAAUCUACCAAAUAAGUACCACCCAAAACACAAAGCUUAUGAAGAAUGAUCGUGUUAUUAUGACGAACAUGAGCUAAAGAGAACAUUAAGGUCGGCCCUCCCCUGCUGACACUCUUUUAUGCUCGGCUGGUGCAUUACACUGAGACUCGAACGAAAGACGGAAGACCAUUUGGAACCAUGCCACAAGUCAUUCCGACCUUCAUUGUCACAGAGAAUACUGCGAGAAGAGUGCGCACCCAUGCAAGUUAAAUAUAACCAGAACAUGGGAAAGGUUAGAUGCCCUGUACCUUAAUACAGCUUUCAGACGAAUGUUCUUGUGAUGUAAUACCAAAGAAAAAACAAGUAAAUAAAGUUUCUAUUAGAUUCGUAAUAAUAAAAAAAAUUGUAUAGUGUAUUAAAAAGAA